rnacentral:tRNA from 1 species
CAUUGGGAAGCUAAGCAGCAUUAACCUUUUAAGUUAAAGACUGAGAGUGCAAACCUCUCCCCGAUGA